AUGGCAAGAACUCGCCUCGCAGCGUUUCUUAUCGGCAUGGCGAGCUUCUUCUCCAUCGUUGCCGGCCAACUCCGACCAAUGCCUGCGGGUGGCCUUCCCGGUGAUCUCUUUGCCCUAGGAAUCGCCUCUAAAAUCCGCACCGACUGCAACUCAACGGCGAGCGCGUCGUCAGACUUUGGCCGCAUCAUGGAGGCCGCCCCGGAAGCUGUUCUACACCCUGCCACGCCCGCCGACAUCGCCGCGCUCAUCCGGUUCUCCGCGUCCUCGCCGGUGCCAUUCCCCGUGUCAGCGCGCGGGCAGGGCCACUCCGUCCGCGGGCAGUCUCUCGCUCCGGGUGGUGUUGUCGUCGACAUGUGCAUGCUUGGGCGCGGUCACCACCGCAUCAACGUGUCUGCGGACUACGUCGACGCUGGCGGCGAGCAGCUGUGGGUCGACGUCCUCCGCGCGACGCUGAAGCACGGCCUUGCGCCCCGCUCGUGGACGGACUAUCUGCAACUCACCAUCGGCGGCACGCUCUCCAAUGCUGGCAUCGGCGGGCAAGCAUUCCGGCAUGGCCCGCAAAUCGCCAAUGUGCACGAGCUUGACGUGGUUACCGGGACGGCCGCCAUGUACUAUGAUGAGACAACCGCCCCAUCCGUCGACCAGAAACUAGAGAUGGUGCUAGCUCAGAUGAGCUUUGUGCCCGGGUUCGUGUUCACCAAGGAUGUGACGUACUUCCAGUACCUUGACCGCGUGCGCGUGGAGGAGGCUGUGCUUCGGUCGGCUGGCGUGUGGGAUGUGCCACACCCAUGGCUGAACCUUUUCGUCCCCCGGUCACGCAUUCUCGACUUCAAUGCUGGCGUGCUCAAAGGCAUCCUCGGGGGUGACAACCCAGUCGGGCUCAUCCUCAUGUCCCCUAUGAACACGGCCAAAUGGAACUCCCAGAUGACGGCGGUGACGCCACCCAGGGCCGGGCCCACAGUGGAGGGCAUCGAGUGCAAGCAGUAUCUGCCAUACUACACAUCACAAGAUGGAUGGCAGCGACAUUUUGGGGCCAAGUGGAGCAAUAUCGCUCAGCUCAAGGCCAAAUAUGAUCCCCACGCGAUAAUGUCACGGGGGCAGAGAGUUUUCCCCUUGCCAGACCUAGAUUACGGAGCCCGAUUUCAUGGCCGAAAACUAGGGUUAAUUGCAGCAGAAUUCCGCCCAACUUGCAUCACCUCUGUCCAAUGCAAUUACAAGCCGACCAAGUGGCCCCUUCUUUGGAGCGGCCCCAUCCGUCGAUCAGAAACUAGAGAUGGUGCUAGCUUUGUGCCCGGGUUCGUGUUCACCAAGGAUGUGACCUACUUCCAGUUCCUUGACUGCAUGCGCGUGAAGGAGGUUGCGCUUCGGUCGGUUGGCGUAUGGGAUGUGCCACACCCAUGGAUGAACCUUUUCGUCCCCCGGUCACACAUUCUCGACUUCAGCGCUGGCGUGCUCAAAGGCAUCUUCGGGGCUGACAAACUGGUCGGGCUCAUCCUCAUGUACCCUAUUAACACGGCCAAAUGGAACUCCCGGAUGACAGGGGUGACGCCACCCACCGGCGAGGAUGCAUUCUACACCGUUGGACUUCUCCGAUCGGCUCUAUCCGCUGAUGAACUAGAGCGUCUGCAGAGGGAGAACCAAUCGGUGCUGACAUUUUGCAAUAAGGAGGGCAUCGAGAGCAAGCAGUAUCUGCCACACUACACGUCACAAGAUGGAUGGCAGCGACAUUUGGGGCCAAGUGGAGCAAAAUCUCUCAGCUUAAGACCAAAUAUGAUCCCCACAUGA
rnacentral:rRNA from 1 species